rnacentral:rRNA from 1 species
CCUACGGGGGCAGCAGUGGGGAAUAUUGGACAAUGGGCGAAAGCCUGAUCCAGCCAUGCCGCGUGUGUGAAGAAGGCCUUCGGGUUGUAAAGCACUUUCAGUGGGGAAGAAAGCCUUGGGGCUAAUACCCUCGAGGAAGGACAUCACCCACAGAAGAAGCACCGGCUAACUCCGUGCCAGCAGCCGCGGUAAUACGGAGGGUGCGAGCGUUAAUCGGAAUUACUGGGCGUAAAGCGCGCGUAGGCGGUCUGAUAAGCCGGUUGUGAAAGCCCCGGGCUCAACCUGGGAACGGCAUCCGGAACUGUCAGGCUAGAGUGCAGGAGAGGAAGGUAGAAUUCCCGGUGUAGCGGUGAAAUGCGUAGAGAUCGGGAGGAAUACCAGUGGCGAAGGCGGCCUUCUGGACUGACACUGACGCUGAGGUGCGAAAGCGUGGGUAGCAAACAGGAUUAGAUACCCUAGUGUC